GACGAACGCUGGCGGCGUGCUUAACACAUGCAAGUCGAACGGAAAGGCCCUGCUUUUGUGGGGUGCUCGAGUGGCGAACGGGUGAGUAACACGUGAGUAACCUGCCCUUGACUUUGGGAUAACUUCAGGAAACUGGGGCUAAUACCGGAUAGGAGCUCCUGCUGCAUGGUGGGGGUUGGAAAGUUUCGGCGGUUGGGGAUGGACUCGCGGCUUAUCAGCUUGUUGGUGGGGUAGUGGCUUACCAAGGCUUUGACGGGUAGCCGGCCUGAGAGGGUGACCGGCCACAUUGGGACUGAGAUACGGCCCAGACUCCUACGGGAGGCAGCAGUGGGGAAUAUUGCACAAUGGGCGGAAGCCUGAUGCAGCAACGCCGCGUGCGGGAUGACGGCCUUCGAGUUGUAAACCGCUUUCGCCUGUGACGAAGCGUGAGUGACGGUAAUGGGUAAAGAAGCACCGGCUAACUACGUGCCAGCAGCCGCGGUGAUACGUAGGGUGCGAGCGUUGUCCGGAUUUAUUGGGCGUAAAGGGCUCGUAGGUGGUUGAUCGCGUCGGAAGUGUAAUCUUGGGGCUUAACCCUGAGCGUGCUUUCGAUACGGGUUGACUUGAGGAAGGUAGGGGAGAAUGGAAUUCCUGGUGGAGCGGUGGAAUGCGCAGAUAUCAGGAGGAACACCAGUGGCGAAGGCGGUUCUCUGGGCCUUUCCUGACGCUGAGGAGCGAAAGCGUGGGGAGCGAACAGGCUUAGAUACCCCGGUAGUCCACGCUGUAAACGGUGGGUACUAGGUGUGGGGUCCAUUCCACGGGUUCCGUGCCGUAGCUAACGCUUUAAGUACCCCGCCUGGGGAGUACGGCCGCAAGGCUAAAACUCAAAGGAAUUGACGGGGCCCCGCACAAGCGGCGGAGCAUGCGGAUUAAUUCGAUGCAACGCGUAGAACCUUACCUGGGUUUGACAUGGAUCGGGAGUGCUCAGAGAUGGGUGUGCCUCUUUUGGGGUCGGUUCACAGGUGGUGCAUGGCUGUCGUCAGCUCGUGUCGUGAGAUGUUGGGUUAAGUCCCGCAACGAGCGCAACCCUUGUUCACUGUUGCCAGCACGUUAUGGUGGGGACUCAGUGGAGACCGCCGGGGUCAACUCGGAGGAAGGUGGGGAUGACGUCAAGUCAUCAUGCCCCUUAUGUCCAGGGCUUCACGCAUGCUACAAUGGCUGGUACAGAGAGUGGCGAGCCUGUGAGGGUGAGCGAAUCUCGGAAAGCCGGUCUCAGUUCGGAUUGGGGUCUGCAACUCGACCUCAUGAAGUCGGAGUCGCUAGUAAUCGCAGAUCAGCAACGCUGCGGUGAAUACGUUCCCGGG
rnacentral:rRNA from 1 species